rnacentral:rRNA from 1 species
GGUGUUGAUUGCGGUGAGGGUCCACCCGUUCCCAUUCCGAACACGGAAGUUAAGCUCACUUGCGCCGAAAAUACUUGGCGGGCAGCUGCCUGGGAAGAUAGGUAGAUGCC